rnacentral:rRNA from 1 species
ACGACUGGAACGGUCGCUAAUACCCAAUAUGCCGAGAGGUGAAACUUAUAUGGCCAGAGGAUGAGCUCGCGUCUGAUUAGCUAGUUGGAGUGGUAACGGCACACCAAGGCGACGAUCAGUAGCUGGUCUGAGAGGAUGAUCAGCCACACUGGGACUGAGACACGGCCCAGACUCCUACGGGAGGCAGCAGUGGGGAAUUUUCCGCAAUGGGCGAAAGCCUGACGGAGCAAGACCGCGUGAGGGAGGAAGGCCUACUGGUUGUAAACCUCUUUUGAUAGGGAAGAAGAAAGUGACGGUACCUAUCGAAUCAGCAUCGGCUAACUCCGUGCCAGCAGCCGCGGUAAUACGGAGGAUGCAAGCGUUAUCCGGAAUUAUUGGGCGUAAAGCGUCCGUAGGUGGUUAUUCAAGUCAGCUGUCAAAGGAUGGAGCUUAACUCCAUAAAGGCAGUUGAAACUGUGUAGCUAGAGUGCGAUAGGGGCAAGGGGAAUUCCCAGUGUAGCGGUGAAAUGCGUAGAUAUUGGGAAGAACAUCGGUGGCGAAAGCGCCUUGCUGGGUCUGCACUGACACUGAGGGACGAAAGCUAGGGGAGCGAAAGGGAUUAGAUACCCCCU